rfam:Oryza glumipatula chromosome 1, whole genome shotgun sequence.
AGGGUAUAGCUUGAGGUUGAGGCAGAGAGAUUUUGUUGAUCUUGAUCUAGUUCUUCAUCGGGAAGGUAGGAUUCCUCGGAGCAAAGGAAAACUAGUGUUUGCUUUUUUCGUGGAAGUGAGAUAAGUACUUCCUUGGGAAGGGAGUACUUAUCGGAGUAAAGGAAAGCACGUUGAUCGGGUUGUUAAAAGGGUUAGUCCUGGGAAAGUUAGCGAUGUUGCCAUCGGAGUUACGUGUACGGGGAUACGUAUAUUGAGAAAAAAGGCCAAGAAGGCAUGUUUUCGAAGCUAGAGCAUAGGAGUUUGGAACCCUGAACAGACCGCCGGUGUUAAGCCGGAGGAAGGGGAGGAUGAGGCCAAGUCAUCAUGCCCCUUAUACCCUGGGCAACACACGUGCUACAAUGGGCGGGACAAAGGGUCGCGAUCUCGCGAGGGUGAGCUAACUCCAAAAACCCGUCCUCAGUUCGGAUUGCAGGCUGCAACUCGCCUGCAUGAAGCAGGAAUCGCUAGUAAUCGCCGGUCAGCCAUACGGCGGUGAAU